rnacentral:rRNA from 1 species
UGCCAGCAGCCGCGGUAACACGUAAGUGGCAAGCGUUGUUCGGAUUUAUUGGGCGUAAAGGGCGCGUAGGCGGUUUAUCAAGCUUGAUGUGAAAGACCCCGGCUUAACCGGGGGAACGCGUUGAGAACUGUUAGACUAGAGUAUAAGAGGGGGAGUUGGAAUUCCUAGUGUAGGGGUGAAAUCUGUAGAUAUUAGGAAGAACACCGGUGGCGAAGGCGAACUCCUGGCUAUAUACUGACGCUGAGGCGCGAAAGUGUGGGGAGCGAACAGGAUUAGAUA